AAAGACUCUGGGGUGCCUUUCCAGAGCUUGGCCCUUCUCUCACAGAGGACAGGCAUUGUGGAAGUAGGUAGGUGCAGGAAUUUGCCUUCCUAGGCUUCAACAUGAUGGCUUUUAAUUUACUGGAUGAAUAUGGGACAUCUAGGUGAAAUGAGAAAAAAUGAGGUCACCUUUCACUACAUACAAUAGUCUUUUGACCUUGGGUUGAGUGCACAUUUAACUGUACGGUGGGAGGCAAUUUUGGUGCAAAGGAUAAGGACAAGGAAAAGACAAAGGCUUGUUAAAGUUUCUCCUCCAGUGUCCAUGACCUCACCAGUCACAGGUAGUUGGCUAUCUUUACAAUACCAGGCAUGGGUUUUCUCCUAUUGUGUCUUUAAGGCCAUUAGACAUCUCUUAGCUGCCCUCAACAUAACAAGUGCCACUGUUGUACCCUUGAGAAGAUCUUGGGUGUUCACCCUCAGAUGAAAACUGCAGGCAAUUACUAACUCCUCCAGCAAGAAGCUCCCUUAUGGGUUAUCCAGGUCUAAGUGGUCAUUUCUAAACAUAUUUACAUACAAGCAACCUUAGAUGGACCCAACAUUGUGUGUGUGUGUGUGUAAAAUCAUAUGAAUAUUUAACAAUAACAAUUAAAGGGAAAGAGUCAUGAGUAUAAAGAAAGUAGGAGAUCAUGAGAAAAGUUCGAGAGAAGAUAGGGUGAGAUGGAAAUGAUAUAAAUACACUACUCAAGUAUAAUAUCAAAAAUAAAUUUUAAAAUAAUAAAAUUUUAAAUUAAUUAAAAUUU
rnacentral:lncRNA from 1 species